rnacentral:rRNA from 1 species
UACGAAGGGUGCAAGCGUUACUCGGAAUUACUGGGCGUAAAGCGUGCGUAGGCGGUUUGUUAAGUCUGUUGUGAAAGCCCCGGGCUCAACCUGGGAAUGGCAAUGGAAACUGGCGAGCUAGAGUACGGUAGAGGAGAGUGGAAUUCCCGGUGUAGCAGUGAAAUGCGUAGAGAUCGGGAGGAACAUCAGUUGCGAAGGCCGGCUCUCUGGACCAGUACUGACGCUGAGGCACGAAAGCGUGGGGAGCAAACAGG